GCCCCUGAUGAUGAUUGAAACAUUUCUACUGAGAUCUCCAUGCGGAAAAUUUUUGGAGACCUGAACUGAAGGGAC